rnacentral:tRNA from 1 species
GGGCAUGUGGUGUAGUUGGUUAUCACGCUCGCUUAGCAUACGUGCACCUGCGAGAGGGGUCCGGUUCAAUCCCGGACAUGUCCA